rnacentral:lncRNA from 1 species
GGCCGAGGGGGUGUGGACGGCGCUGCUGGCUCUUCGGGUUUUGUCCGGUCUGCAACUGUCGGUGGCCGGUGGAUCUGCUGGUUGAAGGAACCGCCGAAGAAGAGGCUGCUGAGGGAGGGGGUUCGGCGUUGAUGGGUCUGUGGCCGUUGGUCUUUUUCAGGUGAGAGAGGGUAGAUUUGUGGCUUGAUGGUGGAGAUCGGAGAGCUUGAGAGAGAGGGGCUGCUGGCUUUUUGUUUCAAGGGGAGAAGGAGAUGACCGGCGGCUGUUUGGAGAAGAAGAAAAUGGUGAG